UACAGAGGUGGCAAGCGUUGUUCGGAAUUACUGGGCGUAAAGGGCGCGUAGGCGGUCUUGCAAGUCCCGUGUGAAAUCCCUCGGCUCAACUGAGGAACUGCACGGGAAACUGCUUGGCUUGAGUUCGGGAGAGGGAAGCGGAAUUCCGGGUGUAGCGGUGAAAUGCGUAGAUAUCCGGAGGAACACCGGUGGCGAAGGCGGCUUCCUGGACCGACACUGACGCUGAGGCGCGAAAGCUAGGGGAGCAAACGGGAUUAGAAACCCCCGUAGUCC
rnacentral:rRNA from 1 species